rnacentral:tRNA from 1 species
GUCAUGAUGGCUAAGUGGUCUAAAGCACCGGACUCAAUUUCUGGUCUCCGUAAGGAAGCGUCAGUUCAUAUCCCACUUCUGACA